rnacentral:misc_RNA from 1 species
GUCUAGCGUGGCACAAGUGGGCGUGUCGACAGCGACUCGGACAAGACCAUGUCCACACAUGAGCAGUCACGGAUUGGUGUCCCGCGGACUCCUUGCCUCUCGCAAUCAACCACCGAAGAGGCCAUCCUUCUUAGUCCUGUGCUCAUUUGUAUCUUUAGGCCAUCCUUUUUAGUCAUGUGCAUUGCGUGUGCCAUCUACCCAGCUCUGUAGGAAGUCUCUAUGUGCCAGUUCGCCUCACCACCUCGAGCGGGAGGCACAACCACAAUGUGGUCGUCGUGCGCACCUUAACGACACAACCCUUGGGCCCCAUGCUAGUUGGGCUCCUGAAGUAUCACAAGCUCUUGCGAAUGUAGCAGGCUUCGGGGACUUCGACCCUCAGCCUAGACCUUGGUAGGUCAUUAAGCCACCCUCGUCGAGACAACGGUCUAUCCACCGACGGGCCCCCUCCGUUCCCUGCGGGCGGUCGGGCGCCUAAACAGCACCGGCAUCACAAA